AUAUACAUGGAAGCAGAACGUUG
rnacentral:piRNA from 1 species